rnacentral:rRNA from 1 species
AGCAGUAGCCGCGGGAAUACGAAGGGUGCAAGCGUUACUCGGAAUUACUGGGCGUAAAGCGUGCGUAGGUGGUGGUUUAAGUCCGUUGUGAAAGCCCUGGGCUCAACCUGGGAAUUGCAGUGGAUACUGGGUCACUAGAGUGUGGUAGAGGAUAGUGGAAUUUCCGGUGUAGCAGUGAAAUGCGUAGAGAUCGGAAGGAACAUCUGUGGCGAAGGCGACUAUCUGGGCCAACACUGACACUGAGGCACGAAAGCGUGGGGAGCAAACAGGAUUAGAGACCCCCGUAGUCCCUGUCUCUUAUAC